AAGGCAAUAACUAACAAACUAAAAAAAAUGCAAAAACGUAUGUAUGUGCUAACAUGUGAAAUUGGUAUCACAUGUAAUUGGCAUGUUAUGGAAUUUAACUAUGGCAAAUAAGUGAGGGGAGAUGGAAAGCUAUGAUGUCUACACGUUUUCCUGAAACAUUUAAGGUCAAUUCUUUCUUGUAUAAAGAUAGUGGAAAGGAAGGAAAUGUACAACAAAAUGGUUUGCCGUUUUUUAUUCUGUCAAUUAAGCCUUUUUUUCUAAUUUCAAGUCACUUCCUGAUUCACAUUACAGCUCAUACACAUCCACACAUUCACCGUUACAUCCAACAAAUGCAAUGCAAAAUGCAACGUUUUCUAGUUUGUGACGUCAUCCGCAUGCGGCGUAGUUGAUGACGUCAUCCGUAUGCGGCGAAAGAGACCGGCUGGGAGAAAAAAUGGCGAUAUCAACAUUGGACAUCCGCUAUGUCUUACUUGAAUGGAAUGAGGGACUAAUGUUAGAUUUGGUAACGUUAAACAUGAUUAGACAAACGUUUGCAGUAACAUUUCAAUUUUAUUGCAACAGAAUUUGAAAAAACUCUCCAAAUUAAACUGUGUGCAAUCGAGAUGGAGAAGGAGGACACACAAGGGCAAACAAAACGUCCUCACAUCCCCAAAUCAAAGUACAGUGAGCAGCAGGGGCAGACUGGGAAUGCUUCAAAGAAAAGAUUGACAAUAAAAAGGGAGGGGCUUCCAAAUAUAAGCACCAGGAGGGUGAGAAGCAGGAGAAGGGUCAUGACAGACUUUCAAAGAACAAGGUUUACGUGAAGAAGAGAUGUUCUUCUACAUACAAUCACGAGGAGGAGGAGGAGGCAACGAACAAGAUGCUACAUUGAAGAAGUGGCCAUCAGCCACCCGAGGGCAGAUAGGCACGUCUAUCAAUUCGAAGCUCACGGAGCUGAGAAGAUCAUCAAGAUAAUUUUUUGUCUUAUUUUUGUUCUUGUACUAUUUGAUUAUUUGUAAGUAAAUAAAAAAUGUAAAUUUCUA